GCUACUACCGAUUGAAUGGUUUAGUGAGGACUCCUGAUUGGCGCCGCCGCCCCGGCAACGGAGCAGCGGACUGCCGAAAAGUUGUUCAAACUUGAUCAUUUAGAGGAAGUAAGAGUCGUAACAAGGUUUCCGUAGGUGAACCUGCAGAAGGACA
rnacentral:misc_RNA from 1 species